ACCUAGUCAGUGUGCAGGGGUACAGGUACCUAGUCAGUGUGCAGGGGUACAGGUACCUAGUCAGUGUGCAGGGGUACAGGUACCGAGUCAGUGUACAGGGGUACAGGUACUGAGUCAGUGUGCGGGGGUACAGGUACUGAGUCAGUGUACAGGGGUACAGGUUAGUUGAGGUCAUUUGUACAUGUAGGUGGGGGUGAAGUGACUAUGUAUAGACAAUAAACAGCAAGUAGCAGCAGUGUACAAAAUGGGGGGGGUCAAUGUAAAUUGUAUGUAUGUACUGGGCCGUACGCACUCCCCUCUGUAGCGCCUUACGGUCAGAUGUGGAGCAGUUGCCAUAACAGGCGGUGAUGCAAACGGUUAGGAUGCUCUCGAUGGUGCAGCUGUAGAACCUUUUGAGGGUCUGAGGACCCAUGCC
ensembl:lncRNA